rnacentral:lncRNA from 1 species
AUAAAUUAAACCAACAUAAUAAAGGGUUGUAGUUGGUUAUGUAAUUUAAAAAUGCUCCCUGUAAAUAAUAUGUAGAAUUGUGAUAUGAAAUUCUUAAUAUUAUUCCGAAGUUGUCAAGUUCCAUCGUCGUUGACCAAUUCUAACUCUUCUAUGACCUUCGUGGAUCUUAGUAGACUUAAGAAAAUUAAUCUAGCUUGUAUUUUUCUGUUGAUAACUCGGCUAACCUUCAUUCAGUUACUUGGACAUCGACUAAAUCAGUCUAAUUAGGCUAAUGACCACUUUCGGCUAACAAUAUUGAUUAUUUUUAAGUGUAAACUAAAAGUAACAUAUUUGUAAGAGUGUUUAAAAAAAAAAAGGUGGGAGAUUUUUUUUUUUUUUUUGUCAAAGUAGCAUGAUGGCUAGAUAUUCACUCUUUAAGUUGAAUAAGAGAAUUAUGAGUUCGAACCUCGGCUCAUACAUAUCGCAAUAUUCUUAUCAAUUUAGCUAUGCUCACGGAUACAUCCGUAAGAGAAUUCUAGUAAUACUCUUUUAAAAUACUUGAUCAUUUAUGUACCAAAAAACAUUAUUUGUUACUUAUUAGUUAAUUUUUCAUUUUGAAAAGCCAG